UCCGGCAUAACGCCGGCAGUCUCCCUAGAGUGCCCAACUGAAUGGUGGCAACUAAGGACGAGGGUUGCGCUCGUUGCGGGACUUAACCCAACAUCUCACGACACGAGCUGACGACAGCCAUGCAGCACCUGUGCAUGCUCCCCUUGCGGGGUCGUCCCACUUUCAUGGUUCUACCACAUGCAUGUCAAGGCCAGGUAAGGUUCUUCGCGUUGCAUCGAAUUAAGCCACAUACUCCACCGCUUGUGCAGGCCCCCGUCAAUUUCUUUGAGUUUUAAUCUUGCGACCGUACUUCCCAGGCGGCGCAUUCAUCGCGUUAGCUUCGAUACUGAGAGCCUAGUUGCUCCCAACAUCCAGUUCGCAUCGUUUAGGGCGUGGACUAC
rnacentral:misc_RNA from 1 species